UACGAAGGGGGCUAGCGUUGCUCGGAAUCACUGGGCGUAAAGCGCACGUAGGCGGAUCUUUAAGUCAGGCGUGAAAGCCCUGGGCUCAACCCGGGAAUUGCGCUUGAGACUGGUGUGCUUGAGUACGGGAGAGGAUAGUGGAAUUCCCAGUGUAGAGGUGAAAUUCGUAGAUAUUGGGAAGAACACCGGUGGCGAAGGCGGCUAUCUGGACCGUAACUGACGCUGAGGCGCGAAAGCGUGGGGAGCAAACAGG
rnacentral:rRNA from 1 species